CAGAAAUCCAAAGCCAAAAUAAUCUUCAAAGCUGUCAGCUCUGUUUCCUGCAGACUCAUACUCCCCACUGCCUUCUCAUUUCCACCGGAGGAAAGAGAGGCUGCUGGUGAAUAACUUUUUCUUUCUUGAAUUGUUUACUAUGUCACACACUCAAUAUCCACAGCACAGAAUGGUACAAUGUUCACAUCUUGCUGAAUUUGUUUUAGCUUUUUUUUUUUAAUUAAUGAAAUAAAACAUUGGUUCAGUUGAAUCUUCUCUGUACUAUCCUUGAGCCUAUUAGCCUCCUCCUUCUGAAAACGAUUCUCCUGAACUGCAUGGAUCUUUCUCUGUGUUUUUAUGCUUUUACCACACCUAUGCGUGAAUCUGUAAGUGCUCCCCCCAUACCACCCCCAUGCAAAGAUCUGGGUUCCAGCUCCAACACUGCCACCAGAUGGCCAACUGUUCUUAGGCCAGUGGUCUAACGUCUCUGGGCUCCAGCUUCAUCAUCCCUUGUUAGAUGUGCUCUGCCUACCUCACGGGAUUGGACUGCUGAGUGGAACAAAUGAGGGUUAUGAGACACAGCUCUUUCAAUGGGGUGGACAUACCAUGAAAAGAUGGUGGAGGCAACUUGUGUUAAUAAGGUCCAGCUCCAGCUUCAGACUCUAACCUGUGACUUGAGAGCCCAUGAGGUGUGUUCCCCUACCACACAGUGGGUUUGUUAGGAAGUGACUGCCAGUCAUGGACUAACCCAAGCCCUUUUUUAUCAAGAGAAAAUAGACACUAUGUGAUUAUGCUAGCUUAUGUCUGAAAGCGGCCAUGCAUGACUGAGCUGGGAAGACAAUGACUCAAGGGGAAGAAGGUCUUCAUAUGACUUAGCUGUCUCAGGCUCGUUUGCUGUGAUGAAACAGCUGCUGUGUUGUGAACUGCCCCAAGGAAAGGAGGGCAAUGGAACUGAGGGAGACUUCCACCAGCAGGCUUAGAGGACCUGAAUCCUGCCAACACCCACUGGAGGGACCUUGAAAGUGGAUUCUCUCCAAGUUAAGCCUUGAGAUGGUUCAAACACCUUGACUGCAGCCUUAUGAGAAGUCCUGAGUCAGAGGAUCCAGUUCAGCCACUGCCCACAGACUCCUGACUCACACUGCACUUGGGAGAGAAAUAAGUUCGAGUGGAAUCUGAAGAUCUUUUCACUGCUCUUCAUGCUGUAUCAUAUAAGCAAAGCUUCCAAGUCACACAGUGAGACCCAGGAGGCAGGAGCCAAUAAAAUCUUAAAAACACCCAAGGACGAGGCCCACACAUUCCAAAUGCUUCUUAGGGUACAGGGAUUGUGCGUUUUUUUUCGGAAGCCAUGGUGCUUUUCUGCCCAGUGGUACUCAUUCAUUCCUAGUUGAAUGGAACAAUGAUGAGGGCAAGGAUUCCCACCCCAGGUUCAUCUAGCUCUGUUCACUACUCUGUAUUUGUGAUCUAUUACUGACUUCAGGGAAAUUUGGCCACAGAGACAGACACACGGAUGGAAUGUGAUGUGAAGAUGAAGAGAGAGAUUUGGGUGAUGCUUCUACAUCAAAAGACUGCCACAGAUCACCAGCACAUGACCAGGAGCAAGGAGAGAGGCAUGGAACAGAGUGUUCUUCACAGCCUCAGAAGGAACCAAUCCUGCUGACCCCUUGAUCUCAGACUUCUGGACUCCUGAACUGUGAGAUAAUAAGUAUCUCUUGAAGCCACCCGGUCUGUGGAACUUUGUUAUGGUGGCCCUAACAAAUGAAUAUAAAGCCUCUGUGCACUAUUUUCUUUAUUUUGCAGACAAGGAAGCAGAGGCUCAGAGAGGUUAAAUAACAUGCCUUAGAUCACACAACUGGUAAGGAGCAGAGCCAGAAUUUAAACUUAGUACUGCAUGUUUUGUUGCUUUUAUGUGGGAGUCUGUUCUGGUAAGGAAUAGAAAAGGUCAAUUUUCUCUGUAUUUCAAGCAGGAUGUGAUAUAUCUUCUUUCUCAGCCUGGCACAGGGUAGCUGGGUCUCCCGGUCCACACCCAUCACCAACUCUGAGGUACAUCCUCUAUUUCCUCCCACAUUUUUCCCCUUCCAGCAACAGCAGAACCCCAAAUCAAUUGCCUCGGGCUAGCACUAGAAAAAUAAAUUUUCUGGGGUGCCUGGGUGGCUCAGUCGGUUGAGUGUCUGACUUCGGUUCAGGUCAUAAUCUCGCCAUUUGUGUUCGAGCUCCACAUCGGGUUCACUGCUGUCAGCGCAGAGCUGGCUUGGGAUCCUCUGUCCCCCUUUCUCUCUGCCCCUUCCCCACUGGUGCGUGUGCUCUCUUUCUCUCUCAAAAAUAAACAUUAAAGAAAUAAAAAGAAAAAUAAAUUUUCUCACCCCAGUCUUCUCA